GUGGGGAAUAUUGGACAAUGGGCGCAAGCCUGAUCCAGCCAUGCCGCGUGAGUGAUGAAGGCCUUAGGGUUGUAAAGCUCUUUCGUCAGGGAAGAUAAUGACGGUACCUGAAGAAGAAGCCCCGACUAACUUCGUGCCAGCAGCCGCGGUAAUACGAAGGGGGCUAGCGUUGCUCGGCAUCACUGGGCGUAAAGCGCACGUAGGCGGCUUUCUAAGUCAGGGGUGAAAUCCUGGAGCUCAACUCCAGAACUGCCUUUGAUACUGGAGAGAUUGAGUUCGGGAGAGGGGAGUGGAACUGCGAGUGUAGAGGUGAAAUUCGUAGAUAUUCGCAAGAACACCAGUGGCGAAGGCGGCUCACUGGCCCGAUACUGACGCUGAGGUGCGAAAGCGUGGGGAGCAAACAGGAUUAGAUACCCGUGUAGUCC
rnacentral:rRNA from 1 species